rnacentral:rRNA from 1 species
UGAUCGGACAGGAUAACCGCUGAAGGCAUCUAAGCGGGAAGCCCCCCUCAAAACAAGGUAUCCCUGAGAGCCGAGGUAGACCACCUCGUCGAUAGGCCAGAGAUGUAAGCGUAGUAAUACGUUCAGUUGACUGGUACUAAUUGCUCGAUAGGCUUGAUUUG